rnacentral:rRNA from 1 species
UACAGAGGGUGCGAGCGUUAAUCGGAAUUACUGGGCGUAAAGCGUGCGUAGACGGUUAUUUAAGUCGGGUGUGAAAGCCCCGGGCUCAACCUGGGAAUUGCAUUCGAGACUGAAUAGCUAGGGUACGGUAGAGGGAAGCGGAAUUUCCGGUGUAGCGGUGAAAUGCGUAGAUAUCGAUAGGAACUCCGGUGGCGAAGGCGGCAUACUGGACCACUUCUGACGCUGAGGCGCGAAAGCCAGGGGAGCAAACGGG